rnacentral:rRNA from 1 species
GACGAACGCUGGCGGCGUGCUUAACACAUGCAAGUCGAACGGAAAGGCCCUGCUUUUGUGGGGUGCUCGAGUGGCGAACGGGUGAGUAACACGUGAGUAACCUGCCCUUGACUUUGGGAUAACUUCAGGAAACUGGGGCUAUACCGGAAAGGAGCUCCCGCUGCAUGGGGGGGGGUGGGAAGUUUCGGCGGUUGGGGAUGGACUCGCGGCUUAUCAGCUUGUUGGUGGGGUAGUGGCUUACCAAGGCUUUGACGGGUAGCCGGCCUGAGAGGGUGACCGGCCACAUUGGGACUGAGAUACGGCCCAGACUCCUACGGGAGGCAGCAGUGGGGAAUAUUGCACAAUGGGCGGAAGCCUGAUGCAGCAACGCCGCGUGCGGGAUGACGGCCUUCGGGUUGUAAACCGCUUUCGCCUGUGACGAAGCGUGAGUGACGGUAAUGGGUAAAGAAGCACCGGCUAACUACGUG